rnacentral:rRNA from 1 species
GGGUCAGUAGGUUGGUCGUGCCACCGGUACGUACUGGUCUCACUGAUUCUUCCUUCCUGAAGAACCGUAAUGCCAUUAAUCUGGUGUUGCGGGGAAACAGGACUGUUACUUUGAAAAAAUUAGAGUGUUUAAAGCAAGCUAACGCUUGAAUACAUUAGCAUGGAAUAAUGAAAUAGGACGAUCGAUCCUAUUUUGUUGGUUUCUAGGAUUGACGUA